UAACAACACCAGCAAUGUGGUUUUUAGUGGCACUAUUAGCAAAACCUUCCAUUAUUACCUGUAGACAUCAUACUACAGCAUUUGACACAGACGAGCAGGCAUACGGUACCGAAAUACUAGUAGAUCGCGUAUGUCUACUCGUGCAGAGAAUCACCCUAUGGCUAACUAACACUGCACGAAGGUUAGUAGCUUCUGAUUAGAUGUAAAACCAAUCAAGAAAAUGAAUUUAUGGCAAGCUAAAUGAAGAAACCAGAAGAUCUGUAUUCAAGAGUAGUGAUUGACUCUUGAAUUGUAGCAGAUGCCUCCCAGAGGAAAGCGUCACUUAGUUUGUCUUAUUUAUGAGUAAUCAUUGGGGAAUUUAAUUUGGACUUAAAUUGGAUGGGGUAGC
rfam:Night-heron coronavirus HKT19, complete genome